CAUUGACUCUUAUCAUUUCUUUUUUGUUAAUUGUGAUGCAGAUUUUGACGCAUGCCUGUUUUCCUUUCAUCUUUGGUUUGUGAUUGGCAGCAUUGGAUUUUCUUCAUGAAAAUAUAGAGGUUUUAUUGCUGCAACUGUUUUCUGGAGCUGUGAAAUGAAAUGGGUGUAGCUGGAAGUAUUUGCAUUUUUAUUUAAAUGCUGUUGUAGGCAGGAG
rnacentral:misc_RNA from 1 species